CAGCCUCUUGGAUCUUUGCAAACAAGUUUUAGAACAUCCCCGUGAAGCGAGGUGGUGCUGUCAUCCCUGCUCACACACAAGGAAAAAAGGUCACAGGAGUUUUGAGAGGUGAUGCACAUGGCAUCUUCAGAGGAAGGAGCUGCUUAGAUCUCCGUCUCUGAACUAAGCUUGACGAAGGUGAGGAAGAAUCUUUCAAAGACCUGUACACUGGCCAGCUGGAGUGAGUGGCUAAAGAAAUGUCCUUGGUGGUAGAAGGUAAGUGCUAGAUGGCCAAAAUGUGAAGGCCCAGGGAUUUCUCAUGAUUUGGUAAGACAAAGACAAGAGCUUUAAAAAAAAAAAAAUGUUUCUAAAACUCUCAACCUCAGUUUGCCCGCAGAGCACGGUACUCUGCAGAUGAAAUAGUAUUACCAUAUUUUAGUUCUAGUGCCUGUUGUUGCAGUACUAAUUUUGUCAUCCAGAUAGCUGCUGGUGCAGUUUCUGUUGCGUGCUGCACAUUUACAAAGUCGGUACGAUUAGGAGAGCUAGUUUUGUGUUUGUGUGGCCAGGCUGAUGGUUACUUUCAGACUCUGCAUAAACAAAGCCUUAAAACAUGGUGUCCAUCUGCCAUCGCAUCAUUUAGCAUCAAUUAAUAAAUGGCCCAGCACACACAGAUGUUUUUCUAGUGUGGUACUGACUUUUUACAGAUGUCUGUGAACCUUUUGGCUGAGUUAUAAUUUUCAGCUUCUCUCAUCAUUGUUUGUCAUAGGAACAUGCCUGGUCUGUUUUGAGACUUAUUUAAAAAGUAAAACUUGAAUUUGUUCUCUCUCGUGACUGGGCUAUUUCUCAUAUUAUUUGAAUAGCUUCCUGCUUUCGUCAAGAAAAAGCUUAGAGUUACAGAUCUGCGAUAAGAACAGAAUAGUUCCAGAUAGCAUCAGCCCGAGACCAAAAUGAAACGCCGUUGUGCUAUUGUGUAUUGUAUGCAGCUCUGGUCUCCCAGCCUCAGAAAGGAUGCGGUAGCAGGGAAGAGCGGAGAAGAGAACUGCCAUCUCGAGAAGAAGUGCAGAACAGCACAAGGCUCUUCAGGACCUCCUCUAGCCUUGCUAAUACCUGCCCAGCCCAAUUCAAACUCCAGCCUCCAGAGUUUCUUGCCCUAGUAAGCAACCUGCAAAAUAU
rnacentral:lncRNA from 1 species